rnacentral:rRNA from 1 species
AUACGGAGGGUGCAAGCGUUAUUCGGAAUCACUGGGCGUAAAGGACGCGUAGGCGGGUUGGCAAGUCAGAUGUGAAAUCCUACAGCUUAACUGUAGAACUGCAUUUGAAACUGCUAACCUAGAGUAUGGGAGGGGGAGAUGGAAUUAGUGGUGUAGGGGUAAAAUCCGUAGAUAUCACUAGGAAUACCGAAAGCGAAGGCGAUCUCCUGGAACAUAACUGACGCUAAGGCGUGAAAGCGUGGGGAGCAAACAGGAUUAGAAACCCUGUAGUCC